UACCUUACCAGAAAGCCACGGCUAACUACGUGCCAGCAGCCGCGGUAAUACGUAGGUGGCAAGCGUUGUCCGGAAUUAUUGGGCGUAAAGGGCGUGUAGGCGGUAAAUCAAGUCUGAUGUGAAAUCUUAUGGCUCAACCAUAAACGUGCAUUGGAAACUGAUAAACUAGAGUGUCGGAGAGGAAAGUGGAAUUCCAUGUGUAGCGGUGAAAUGCGUAGAGAUAUGGAGGAACACCAGUGGCGAAGGCGACUUUCUGGACGAUAACUGACGCUGAGGCGCGAAAGCGUGGGGAGCAAACAGGAUUAGAUACCCUGGUAGUCCACGCUGUAAACGAUGAGUGCUAGUGUUGGUCCCGCAGGGGAUCAGUGCUGAAGUUAACGCAAUAAGCACUCCGCCUGGGGAGUACGGUCGCAAGGCUGAAACU
rnacentral:rRNA from 2 species